UACAGAGGUCCCAAGCGUUGUUCGGAUUCACUGGGCGUAAAGGGUGCGUAGGUGGUGAGGUAAGUCGGAUGUGAAAGCUCGGAGCUCAACUCCGAAAUGGCAUUGGAAACUACCUUGCUCGAGGGUUGGAGGGGAGACUGGAAUUUACGGUGUAGCGGUGAAAUGCGUAGAUAUCGUAAGGAAGACCAGUGGCGAAGGCGGGUCUCUGGACAGUUCCUGACGCUGAGGCACGAAGGCCAGGGGAGCAAACGGG
rnacentral:rRNA from 1 species